CUGAUGAUAUCCGCUAGCCCAGUUAUUUCCAGCACCACCACCAUGAUCUGAAACAAAGAUGUUCUCAUGAUUGUAGAGAUUUCGGUACUCACUGUUCUGAAUACCAUUGAUUACCCUAGGCUCCAAAUCUAUCAGUAAAGCUCGUGGUAUGUAAUGCUGAUCAUCAGCUUGAUAGAAGAACACAUCUUUCCUGUCACCUCCCUGAGUGGCGAAAUCCUCGAGAAUGCCCUCUUUGCUAAUACCAUGCUCAAGGCAGAGCUGCUUCCAGAAUUCCAUGCCGAUCUGGUUCCCGCAUUGUCCUACUUGCAGGGUGAUGAUUUCUCGAGGCAUUCUGUGUUUUUGUUCUUUUCCUUCUUUUCGGAAAAAUUAGGGUUUCGCAUAGAGAGAAAAUAUUGUGUAUGUAUCUG
rnacentral:misc_RNA from 1 species